rnacentral:rRNA from 1 species
CGGGUGAGUAACACGUGGGUAACCUGCCCAUCAGAAGGGGAUAACACUUGGAAACAGGUGCUAAUACCGUAUAACAAUCGAAACCGCAUGGUUUUGAUUUGAAAGGCGCUUUCGGGUGUCGCUGAUGGAUGGACCCGCGGUGCAUUAGCUAGUUGGUGAGGUAACGGCUCACCAAGGCGACGAUGCAUAGCCGACCUGAGAGGGUGAUCGGCCACAUUGGGACUGAGACACGGCCCAAACUCCUACGGGAGGCAGCAGUAGGGAAUCUUCGGCAAUGGACGAAAGUCUGACCGAGCAACGCCGCGUGAGUGAAGAAGGUUUUCGGAUCGUAAAACUCUGUUGUUAGAGAAGAACAAGGAUGAGAGUAACUGUUCAUCCCUUGACGGUAUCUAACCAGAAAGCCACGGCUAACUACGUGCCAGCAGCCGCGGUAAUACGUAGGUGGCAAGCGUUGUCCGGAUUUAUUGGGCGUAAAGCGAGCGCAGGCGGUUUCUUAAGUCUGAUGUGAAAGCCCCCGGC